rnacentral:rRNA from 1 species
GGCUCCGCCGCCGCCACCGCCACGCAAGCCGCCCGGGUCUUCGACAUCGACGAGACGCUGCUCUCCAACCUCCCCUACUACGCGCAGCGCGGAUACGGGCUCAAGCUGUUCGACCACCACGAGUUCGACCAGUGAGUGGAGACGGAUCCCCUCCAGCCUCCGCCUCUACAGGAGGUCCACGACCUCGGCUUCAAGACCUUCCUGCUCACCGGCCACAGCAAGGCCCACCAGGGAGUCACCGUCGACAACCCCAGGAGACAGGGUUUCCACGACUGGGACAAGCUCAUACUCAGGGCUGCAGCUGACCGGGAGAAAACGGCGACAGACUACAAGUCGGAGAAGAUGAAGGAGAUGGAGGCGGAGGGGUACAAGAUCCUGGGCAACUCGGGCGACCAGUGGAGCGACCUGCUGGGCUACUCCAUGAGCGCCCGUUCCUUCAAGCUCCCCAACCCAAUGUACUACAUCCCCUGA